UUUUUUUUUUUUUUGUCUUUUUCCUUUUUAUCGAUACCAGGGAUCGAACCCACGACUGCCUGCUUGCAAGGCAGGCGCUUAUGCCACUGAGCUAAAUCCCCAGCUCCUUGUUUUGUCUUUUUGAGACAGGGUCUCUCUAUGCAGUUCAGGCUGGCCUUGAGCUCACUUUGUAGCCCAGGCUGGUCUCGAACUUACAACGAUCCUCCUGCCUCAGCCUCCCGAGUGCUGGGAUUAUAGACAUGAGCCACCACGCCCGGCUGCACCCAUGGGUUUGAGCCAGCUGCUCUGUACACCCUGAGCUCCUGAAUGAAUGGCUCUCAAGUGGAUACCUCAGGCCCAUGGCAGCCCCUCCUGAGCCUAUGGCCUUGGAUCUCCUCCAGGAGACAAAAUGGAUCUCUCACCAGCCCCACUCCCAAUCCUUAGAGGAAGCCUGGAGUUGGGCAGGGAAUAGUGGAGGUACCUCAGCAGGCCAUCAUUGGAAGCAUGCCAAGAAUGAUUCAAACCCUUUUUAACAUUUGGAGCUAGGAAUGAUGGCAUGUCUGUAACUGGCACUGUGGGAGGCUGAGGCAGGUGGAUCUCAAGUUGGAGCCUAGCCAAGGGCAAUUUAGCAACUAUGGAGGACCCUGUCUCAAAAAUAAAAAAAAAAAAAGGGCUGGGGAUGUGGCUCAGUGAGAAAGCCCUAGGUUCAAUCCCCAGUAAAACACACACACACACACACAGUUUUUUUGAGGCUAUUUAUAGUCCAGGCUGGCCUCAAACUUGCAGCCAUCCUCGUGCCUUAGCUUCUAGAGUGCUACAAUUACAGGCAUGCCAUUAUUCUCAGCUCCACUUUUUUUUAAAAAAUGUGGGUUUUUUGUUUUUGUUGUUGUUGUUGUUUGGUACCAAGAAUUGAAGUCAGGAUCUUGCAGGCACUGAGGCACUAUACUAUAUCCUGGGACUAAAAAAUGUUUGAAUAAAAUGUUAAUGAGCAUCUGAAAAGACCUAAGCUGCCUCAGAAAUCAGGAAAGUGCAAAUUAAAGCAAUGCCAGAGUGAGAAAGGGCUCUCCCCUGGCAUGCUGCUGCUGAGCCUGAGUGUAGUGUGGCCUCUCAUCUGGUGGCCAUCUGCUUCUCUACCUGUGCUGUGCUCCUCUAGGAGCUACUGACGCCUGCCUGUGUCAGUCCCUGCCCUGCCACUUACCAUCCUAACUCAGCUCUAGCCUCAGAAUGUGACUGCAUUUGGAGGAAGUUGAGGUGGUUAGAGUAGGUCCUAAUCCAACAUGACUGGUAUCCUUAUAAGAUGGCCAUGGAGACUGAACAGGUAGAAAGUGAAGCAAUCUACAGUUACUGUACAGUUACAGUGAAUCCAAUCUCUUGCCCCAUCAGGCUUCUCCUCACCCACAUGUACUGAGCUGCAUAACUCUGCACAGGCCAAACUACACAUAAAAGUCAACAAUGUGCCUGCCUUUGUUUCACCUAUUUUUUUUAAGACAGCAUAUUGCUAAGACAGGGUAGUUCAGGGUGGCCCUGAGUUUACUAUGUAGCCCUGGACGACCUUAAACUUGUGAUGAUCCUCCUGCCUCACCCUCCUGAGUGCUGGGGUUACAGGUAUUCACCACUGUGCCUGGCUCUGUGACCUGUGACUUUCAUUUGGAGCUCUCUGGGCCCUCAUGAGGUCCAGUAAUGGACUACGUCACCCUGGUUCUCAUAAUAGGUGUCUUGUGCCAGAGUCCAUAGUGAUCUAAAGGAAACACUCCCAGGACAUGUCAUCAAUCACCCCUUCCUCAACUUCAAACCUUUAUAAAGUCCUGUUUUUCACCUUGGCAGUGCAAUUCCUUCCUUGGAAACUCAUCCACUGUCCCAACAGUGAACCCCAGUCUACACAGGCUCUUGUCUUCAUGGACAGACACAGGGAAAAUGUAUGUGAUGAUGAAGCAGACGAGAGCCAUGUAUCUUUGGGCCAAGGAGCAUCAAGAUCAAGGAUUGCCAGCAAAAUCAGAAGCUGGAGGGCUGGGGAUUUAGCUUAGUGGUGCAAGCACCUGCCUGGCAAGCAUGAGCUUGUGAGUUCAAUCCCCAGUACUGAAAAGAAAGGAAAGAAAAGAAAACUGGCCUUCAAAUUAUUGGAUACCAAGAAAAAAAAAACACCCCCCCAAAAAACCCCAGAAGCUGGAAGCUGAGGAAUAACUCUCAAAGCCUUGUCUAUAGAUGAGUGAGGCUUGUGUGUGUGUGUGUGUGUGUGUGUGUGUGUGUGUGUGUGUUAGGGUCUUGCUAUGUAGUCCAGACCAGCCUUGAACUAACUUGUGGCAAUCUUCCUGUCUCAGUCUCCCAGAGCUGGGAUUACAGGUACGUGUCACCUCGUCCAGAGAACACAUGUGGAGGAGGCAUCUAAAUCUGAACCAUAACACAGGCACUCCAGGCUGACCAGACCAGGAAACAAGUCCACAUGCUCCUGCCUCUCAGCGCUGCAGAGCGAGUGCGCUGGGAGAUGCUCCACCACACCUUGGCAGCACCGCGAGAAGGAUCAAGCCAGGCCUGUGUUCCACCUGGUCUGCUGGUGCCAGACACUGCAAUCUUGCCUACCCUGUUACUUUUGAAAUUGCUUUAUAAUGGUGUCUUUUAAAUUGCUUUUAAAAAUUGUUUCCUCUCUUCCUA